rnacentral:rRNA from 1 species
CACAUGACUCUUGGCAACGGAUAUCUCGGCUCUUGCAUCGAUGAAGAACGUAGCAAAAUGCGAUACCUGGUGUGAAUUGCAGAAUCCCGUGAACCAUCGAGUUUUUGAACGCAAGUUGCGCCCGAGGCCUUUCGGCCGAGGGCACGUCUGCCUGGGCGUCACAC